UACGUAGGGUGCAAGCGUUGUCCGGAAUCAUUGGGCGUAAAGCGCGUGUAGGCGGUUCGGUAAGUCUGCUGUGAAAGUCCAGGGCUCAACCCUGGGAUGCCGGUGGAUACUGUCGGACUAGAGUACGGAAGAGGCGAGUGGAAUUCCCGGUGUAGCGGUGAAAUGCGCAGAUAUCGGGAGGAACACCAAUUGCGAAGGCAGCUCGCUGGGACGUCACUGACGCUGAGACGCGAAAGCGUGGGGAGCAAACAGG
rnacentral:rRNA from 1 species